rnacentral:tRNA from 1 species
GAGAGGUUAGUUUAAGCUUAAAAUAUUAAUUUGUCAAAUUAGAGAAAUCAUCCAUUUUUAGAUACUUCUCU